AUUGAACGCUGGCGGCAGGCCUAACACAUGCAAGUCGAACGAGUGGCGGACGGGUGAGUAAUGUCUGGGAAACUGCCCGAUGGAGGGGGAUAACUACUGGAAAAGGUAGCUAAUACCGCAUACCAUCGGAUGUGCCCAGAUGGGAUUGGCUAGUGGGUGGGUUAACAGCUCACCUGGGCGUCGAUCCCUAGCCGGUCUGAGAGGAGGACCACCCACACUGGAACUGUGCCACGCUCCGAACUCCUAGGGAGGGAAGCAUUGGGGAAUAUUGGAAAAUGGGCGCAAGCCUAAUGCACAACGCCGGCUGGUAGGAAGAAGGCCUUCGGUUUGUAAAGUACUUUCAGCGAGGAGACGUUACUCGCAGAAGAAGCACCGGCUAACUCCGUGCCAGCAGCCGCGGUAAUUC
rnacentral:rRNA from 1 species